rnacentral:rRNA from 1 species
AUUGAACGCUGGCGGAAUGCUUUACACAUGCAAGUCGAACGGCAGCACGGACUUCGGUCUGGUGGCGAGUCGCGAACGGGUGAGUAAUGUAUCGGAACGUGCCCAGUCGUGGGGGAUAACGUAGUGAAAAUUACGCUAAUACCGCAUACGAUCUAUGGAUGAAAGCGGGGGAUCGCAAGACCUCGCGCGAUUGGAGCGGCCGAUAUCAGAUUGGUAGUUGGUGGGGUAAAGGCCCACCAAGCCAACGAUCUGUAGCUGGUCUGAGAGGACGACCAGCCACACUGGAACUGCGACACGGUCCAGACUCCUACGGGAGUCAGCAGUGGGGAAUUUUGGACAAUGGGCGAAAGCCUGAUCCAGCCAUUCCGCGUGCAGGAUGAAGGCCCUCGGGUUGUAAACUGCUUUUGUACAGAACGAAAAGGUUUCUACUAAUACUAGGAGCUCAUGACGGUACUGUAAGAAUAAGCACCGGCUAACUACGUGCCAGCAGCCGCGGUAA